rnacentral:rRNA from 1 species
UAUAUGAGAACAUGUGUGUGAAUUGCAGAAUCCCGUGACCCAUAGUGUCUUUGACGCAGUUGCGCCCGAAGCCAUCCGGUUGAGGGCACGUCUGCCUGGGCGUC